AGAUUUGUUCCUAUUUUCCCCUAUAUUAUAGUCACCCUAUUGUUUUUUUUUCUUUUUACAUUUCUUCAUUUUUUUUUCUUUUCUCCAUCUAUUUUUCCUUAACAAGUCAUGUAAAGGGAGAGAGAUUUGAGUGAGUUCUCACCAUUUUUUUCAUCCUCCAAAUCUCAAAGAAGUUAAAGAGGGUGGUGAAUCUUCUAAAGCUAAGGGUAAAGGCAUAGUGCUGGAGAGCUAGGCAAGAAACUUUGUUGGUGUUCUUCCAUCAAGAUUUGUAGACUUUUGUUCGUGUCCGAGGAACAUCAUCGACAAGUGACUCCUACCGUCAUGUAUUCAGAGUAUAGUACCUUAUCUAUUAGUGGACAUUGUAUUCCUAAGGCCUUACUUGUAUUUUUUUUUGUAGGUCUGUAACUCAUUUAUCAUUUUUGUUAUUUUGACUAUUUUGAUAUACGAUGAUAUUGGAGCUCCACA